CGGACGGGUGAGUAACACGUGGAUAACCUACCUAUAAGACUGGGAUAACUUCGGGAAACCGGAGCUAAUACCGGAUAAUAUUUUGAACCGCAUGGUUCAAAAGUGAAAGACGGUCUUGCUGUCACUUAUAGAUGGAUCCGCGCUGCAUUAGCUAGUUGGUAAGGUAACGGCUUACCAAGGCAACGAUGCAUAGCCGACCUGAGAGGGUGAUCGGCCACACUGGAACUGAGACGCGGUCCAG
rnacentral:rRNA from 1 species